CAACAGGGAUUGCCCCAGUAACGGCGAGUGAAGCGGCAACAGCUCAAAUUUGAAAUCUGGCUCUCGGGCCCGAGUUGUAAUUUGUAGAGGAUGCUUUUGGUGAGGUGCCUUCCGAGUUCCCUGGAACGGGACGCCAUAGAGGGUGAGAGCCCCGUCUGGUUGGACGCCGAACCUCUGUAAAGCUCCUUCGACGAGUCGAGUAGUUUGGGAAUGCUGCUCUAAAUGGGAGGUAUAUGUCUUCUAAAGCUAAAUACCGGCCAGAGACCGAUAGCGCACAAGUAGAGUGAUCGAAAGAUGAAAAGAACUUUGAAAAGAGAGUUAAACAGUACGUGAAAUUGUUGAAAGGGAAGCGCUUGUGACCAGACUUGGGCUUGGUUGAUCAUCCGGGGUUCUCCCCGGUGCACUCUUCCGGCUCAGGCCAGCAUCAGUUCGCCCUGGGGGAUAAAGGCAUCGGGAACGUGGCUCUCUCCGGGGAGUGUUAUAGCCCGUUGCGUAAUACCCUGUGGCGGACUGAGGUUCGCGCAUUCGCAAGGAU
rnacentral:rRNA from 1 species